rnacentral:rRNA from 1 species
AUGCCGCGGGGAGGUCCCGACCACGGCUGCACGGAGCAGGACCACCCUCCGGCGAUCUCCCCACCCCGUCCGCGGCAGCGGCCCCCGCCGUUCCUGAGAGCCGGGAGGAGCCCCUUCCGGUUCUUGGCCCAUCUGCGGCAGGCCGGAUGCGGGGUGGUCAAGAGGAGGAGGAACAAGAUGCGGAAGCGGAAACAGCGGCGGCCUGCAGCGAGCCUCCCUGCCGACCUCCUCGCGGAGAUGGUCCUGCCGCGGGUGGCGUACAGGUCGCUCUGCCGCCUCAGGUGCGUGUCGAGGUCCUGGCGCGCGCUCUGCUCCGACCGCCGCGUCGUCAGGAGGUCGCCGCAGACCAUCUUCGAUUUCUUCAGCCACUCCCGCGACGCGCGUCGCCGCGGCUCCAUCUGCCACAGCCGCGAGGGCCAUCUCCUCGGCUUCCACAAUCUGUCCGGGAGUGGCCGGCCCCUCAUCGACCCGUCUCUGCCCUUUCUGCGCGAGCGCGGCUACGCAAGCGUCACGCUCAUCCACUGCUGCAACGGCAUCCUCCUCUGCUCCGCCGACGGGAGGCCUCCGCCAUCUCCGGCGGAGUACAUCGUCUGCAACCCAGUGACCGAGGAGAUCUGGGCCGUGCUGCCUGCGCCCGCUUCACACGCCCCCCCACGGGACAACAACAUAUGUCUCUGUUUCGAUCCUGCAAUAGUUCCAUCCUACUUUGCUGUGUUUGUGAAACCAUUGGAGAGCAGUCGAUUCGAGGUUUAUUCGUCAGAAACUCCACAGUGGACAUCCCUGCUGAGUGAUUGUAGUGACCUUGGUUUUGCUGGUGACGAUUUAGGGUAUGUCUUCUUCAAUGGCACUCUGCAUUUGAGUGCCUACUACUCUUCUUCCAUCGUCACGCUGGACACCAAGCGAGAAACAUGGGGGGCAAUCCGAAUGCCGGAGGACAAUAAACCCGCUGCCAUCGGGCUGUCUCGGGGGCGCUUACACCUUGUAUGCAUAGACUAUGACAACGAUUGGCAACUAUCUAUUUGGGUUCUCGAGGAUUAUGCCAGUGGUAAGUGGACCUUGAUGCACAUCGCGGACUUUCCGGGUCUGCUAGGAACGCCUCGUCGCGUACCCACCGAGAUCUACGAGUCGGUUGCAAUCCAUCCAGAAUGUAAUUUGGUUUUCUUUACUGGCGGGGAGGAGAGGUCAUGGUCACUCUUGUCAUAUGAUAUGGAUACCCAGAAAGUGCAGCAUAUCAGCAGUCUUGAAAGUGGCCCUUAUCUGCCGUGUCUGCCUUACAUCCCCUGCUUCGUGAAAUGGUCCUCGGAUGGUCACUAG